rnacentral:lncRNA from 1 species
AAAUCCUACUCGUAAUAUCCCAGCCUAGCCCUGUCUGACUGAGGGUUGAAACCUAGACUGGGAGGGGGCUCAGCUCUGAGACAUAGUAUGAACUGGUUUCCAGGGCAACAUUAAACCAAUAGUGUUGUGUUAGUCAAAGACUAGACUUUAUCUGUGUCUAGGAUACUCAGCCCAAUAACACUGUAACUGCUGGGGGGGGUCAACUCUAAAGGCUGGUUUCCCAGAUACAGAUUAAUCCUAGUUCUGGACUAAAAAGGUAUUUCUUCAUUGACAAUGAAAUUCUCCAUUAGACCAGGACAAGGAUUAAUCUGUGCCUGGGAAACCAGCCCAAUGACACAGUGUCUGUAUUCCCAGACACAAAUUAAGCCUAUAUUCCUGGACUAAAAAGCUAUUUAAAGAGAGAUUAUUAAAUUUAGCAUGCUUUUUAGUUCAGGACCAGGCUUAAUCUGUGUCCUGGAAACUGGCCCAAUAACACAGUAACUGAACUUCUAUAUCUCUGGUACAGGCAGCAAGUUUGUGUGUCUAUAUCUCUGGUACAGGCAGCAGGUUUGUGUGUCUAUAUCUCUGGUACAGGCAGCAAGUUUGUGUGUCUAUAUCUCUGGUACAGGCAGCAGGUUUGUGUGUCUAUAUCUCUGGUACAGGCAGCAAGUUUGUGUAUUUAUAUCUCUGGUACAGGCAGCAAGUUUGUGUGUCUAUAUCUCUGG